AUGCUUACAUCAGCAGUAUACAUAAAAAGUUGGAAUGAUAUAGGAAAGAUUAGCAUGGCCCAUGCCAAAAGGAUGAACUACAAAUUCAUGAAGCAUUCUAUGAUUUU
ensembl:snRNA LOC120093304 U6 spliceosomal RNA